ACCCAGGGGCCCAGCCAACGCCUGCAAGGAAGGCAGGCCGCGCAUCCCGGAGAAGGGGCCCAGCGGCCCACUGGCGUGGUAGACAGAUCACCCCAAUUGGAGGAGGGGCCCAGCCGCUGCCCGUGCCUGCAAGGUAGGCAGACCUGCGACCUGGAGAACAGGCCCAGCGGCCCACCGGCACAGUAUACAGAUCACCCGAAUUGGAGGAGGGGCCCAGCUGCCGCCUGCAAGGUAGGCAGACCUGCGACCUGGAGAAGAGGCCCAGCGGCUCGCCUGCGCGGUAGACAGACCUCCCCAGUUGGAGGAGCCCAGCCUCCCAC
rnacentral:lncRNA from 1 species